AGUGAACGCUGGCGGUAGGCCUAACACAUGCAAGUCGAACGGCAGCACAGUAAGAGCUUGCUCUUACGGGUGGCGAGUGGCGGACGGGUGAGGAAUACAUCGGAAUCUACUUUUUCGUGGGGGAUAACGUAGGGAAACUUACGCUAAUACCGCAUACGACCUACGGGUGAAAGCAGGGGAUCUUCUGACCUUGCGCGAUUGAAUGAGCCGAUGUCGGAUUAGCUAGUUGGCGGGGUAAAGGCCCACCAAGGCGACGAUCCGUAGCUGGUCGGAGAGGAUGAUCAGCCACACUGGAACUGAGACACGGUCCAGACUCCUACGGGAGGCAGCAGUGGGGAAUAUUGGACAAUGGGCGCAAGCCUGAUCCAGCCAUACCGCGUGGGUGAAGAAGGCCUUCGGGUUGUAAAGCCCUUUUGUUGGGAAAGAAAAGCAGCAGGUUAAUACCCCGCUGUUCUGACGGUACCCAAAGAAUAAGCACCGGCUAACUUCGUG
rnacentral:rRNA from 1 species